UAACCGACUGAUCGAGCUCGGCUCGACUCUCCCACCCAAUGUGUACCUACCUCUGUUGCUUUGGCGGGCCGCGGUCCUCCGCACCGGCGCCCUUCGGGGGGCUGGCCAGCGCCCGCCAGAGGACCAUAAAACUCCAGUCAGUGAACUUCGCAGUCUGAAAAACAAGUUAAUAAACUAAAACUUUCAACAACGGAUCUCUUGGUUCUGGCAUCGAUGAAGAACGCAGCGAAAUGCGAUAAGUAAUGUGAAUUGCAGAAUUCAGUGAAUCAUCGAAUCUUUGAACGCACAUUGCGCCCCUUGGUAUUCCGAGGGGCAUGCCUGUUCGAGCGUCAUUUCAACCCUCAAGCUCUGCUUGGUAUUGGGCCCCGUCCUCCACGGACGCGCCUUAAAGACCUCGGCGGUGGCGUCUUGCCUCAAGCGUAGUAGAAAACACCUCGCUUUGGAGCGCACGGCGUCGCCCGCCGGACGAACCUUUGAAUUAUUUCUCAAGGUUGACCUCGGAUCAGGUAGGGAUACCCGCUGAACUUAAGCAUAUCAAAAGCCGGAGGAA
rnacentral:rRNA from 1 species